rnacentral:tRNA from 1 species
GCGGGUGUGGUGAAAUUGGUAAACACAGCAGACUUAAAAUCUGCCGGCGAAUAGCCUUGCCGGUUCGAUUCCGGCCAUCCGCACCA